rnacentral:rRNA from 1 species
ACAAUGGAGAGUUUGAUCCUGGCUCAGGAUGAACGCUAGCGGCAGGCCUAAUACAUGCAAGUCGAACGGGAUUCGGGACUUCGGUUCUGAUGAGAGU